GACGUAGGGCGCGAGCGUUGUCCGGAUUUAUUGGGCGUAAAGAGCUCGUAGGCGGCUUGUCGCGUCGACUGUGAAAACCCGCGGCUUAACUGCGGGGCUGCAGUCGAUACGGGCAGGCUAGAGUUCGGUAGGGGAGACUGGAAUUCCUGGUGUAGCGGUGAAAUGCGCAGAUAUCAGGAGGAACACCGGUGGCGAAGGCGGGUCUCUGGGCCGACACUGACGCUGAGGAGCGAAAGCGUGGGGAGCGAACAGG
rnacentral:rRNA from 1 species